ensembl:lincRNA
CUCCCUCACCCCACAGGAUCCCAGCCCUGCUGCAAGGACAGGUGUCAGGUACCUCACCCCACAGGAUCCCAGCCCUGCUGCAGGGACAGGUGUCAGGUCCCUCACCCCACAGGAUCCCAGCCCUGCUGCAAGGACAGGUGUCAGGUAGGGGGCAGUGUUGACCUGCCGGCCCAGGCAGGUGUCUCACUCCCAGGCCAGAACCGCGGCACAGCCCAACCCUGCCCUCUGCUGGCACCGCCCCUCCACAUCACGGCCCCUGCUCACUGCCAUGUUCUCUGGCCACACAGGUAGGACCACCGGGCAGCUGCCACCUGCAUGCCAUUCACAGAACCUGGUCCGGGGCGCUCCUCUGAGCCAGCCGCCUGUUUAUCCCUUACAGUGACCCUGAAGGGCAGGCGGAGGCGGGGCUGGUCUCAGGUCUGGGUUUUACGCUCUGCUGCCACUGUCUUGACAUUUUAAAUACACUUUGAAUCAGGGGACUCUCGUUUUCAUUUUGCGUGAGCUCCGCCAUUGAGGCCAAUUCCGACGCCAGAGGUGGUACUUCCUGCUGUAACCACCCCAGGGCGCAGCUGGGGGGCAGGGGCGCGGGAAGUUAGGAGACCUGGAGCAGCCGGGGUCCCCGGGGUCCUCUCGGCCGGCUUCACCCCCACCCCUGGGAACCCAGGAAGAGCCGGCUUUCGCUUCCUGUCUAUUAAACCCUUUAAAGGAAGAGGGUAAAUAAAACCGCCCGUCUGCCCAGCUGGAAAGCGAUGACUCAGCCGCCCCCGCCGACCCUCGCCCCCAGGCCGAUCCCAGAGAGCGGGCGUCGCGGCCCAGCCCGGACCCCUCGGCUCCCGGGACCUCUCUCCGGUCCGGGUCGUGGGGGCGCGGUGGGAGCAGUCCGUCCCCCCGUUCGGGACACUACGAGGGCGCAGGGAGGAGAGCGGGCUUCCUCUUCCCCUCCCAUUGACUGAGCUCUAUGGGUUGCUGUUCUAGCCCUUUCCACGUGUUCCCUAAUCCAGCAAAGGUGACUGUUCCCCCUGGGAAGGGCCCCCGAAGAGGACGGAACGGCCAGCGCUCGGGAUCCCACGCCCGGUACGACAUGAAGUCCCCCGACGAGGUGCUACGCGAGGGCGAGCUGGAGAAGCGCAGCGACAGCCUCUUCCAGUUAUGGAAGAAGAAGCGCGGCGUGCUCACCUCCGACCGCCUGAGCCUGUUCCCCGCCAGCCCCCGCGCGCGCCCCAAGGAGCUGCGCUUCCACUCCAUCCUCAAGGUGGACUGCGUGGAGCGCACCGGCAAGUACGUGUACUUCACCAUCGUCACCACCGACCACAAGGAGAUCGACUUCCGCUGCGCGGGCGAGAGCUGCUGGAACGCGGCCAUCGCGCUGGCGCUCAUCGAUUUCCAGAACCGCCGCGCCCUGCAGGACUUUCGCAGCCGCCAGGAACGCACCGCACCCGCCGCGCUCGCCGCACCCGCCGAGGCCGCCGAG